rnacentral:SRP_RNA from 1 species
GCUAGGUCUGGUGGCGCAUUCCUGUAGUCCUGACUUAUAGGGAGGCUGAGACUGGGGGAUCACUUGAGCCCAGGAGUUCUGGGCUAUAGUGUGCUAUGCUGACUGGGUGUUUGCACUAAGUAGACAUCAAACUUCCAGGAGCAGGGGACCAACCCAGGUUUCCUAAGGAGAGGUGAACUGGUGCAGGUCAGAAACAGAACAGGUCAAAACUCCCAUGCCGAUCAGUAGUGGAAUCACACAUGUGAAUAGCCCCAGCACUUCAGAGUCACCAGAAUGUCCUCAUCUGA